GUCGGGGUAGCUCAAAUGGUAGAGUGGCAGGCCAACAUAGCCAGCAGAUCUCGGUUCAAACCCGAGCCCUGACCA
rnacentral:tRNA from 1 species